rnacentral:rRNA from 1 species
GAUGAACGCUGGCGGCGUGCCUAAUACAUGCAAGUCGAGCGAACGGACGAGAAGCUUGCUUCUCUGAUGUUAGCGGCGGACGGGUGAGUAACACGUGGAUAACCUACCUAUAAGACUGGGAUAACUUCGGGAAACCGUAGCUAAUACCGGAGAAUAUUUUGAACCGCAUGGUUCAAAAGUGAAAGACGGUGUUGCUGUAACUUAUAGCUGGAUCCGCGCUGCAUUAGCUAGUUGGUAAGGUAACGGCUUACCAAGGCAACGAUGCAUAGCCGACCUGAGAGGGUGAUCGGCCACACUGGAACUGAGACACGGUCCAGACUCCUACGGGGGGCAGCAGUAGGGAAUCUGCCGCAAUGGGCGAAAGCCUGACGGAGCAACGCCGCGUGAGUGAUGAAGGUCUUCGGAUCGUAAAACUCUGUUAUUAGGGAAGAACAUAUGUGUAAGUAACUGUGCACAUCUUGACGGUACCUAAUCAGAAAGCCACGGCUAACUACGUG